UUUUGCACAAUAAGAGAUGAGGUGUAAAGGUGUCACUUGUUCGGCGGGCCUGCGGCCUAACUAUUAUUGAGUGAGUGCUCAUGGAAGGUGGAAAGCCUGUGUGGCAGCUAGCGCCUGCCGAACCGAGACACUGAAGAGUCUAGUUGUUUGAGAGUACAACUUAAAGCUGGUGGUAAAUUUCAUCAAAGGCUAAAUAUACGAAGGGACUAAUAGCGAACAAGUACCAUGAGGGAAAGUUGAAAAGAACUCUGAAGAGAGAGUUAAACAGUACGUGAAACCAUAUUGAGUAAAACAGAUAACUGUGCCGUUUCGCGGCGCGUCCUGUCAACAGCGGCCCCGGCGUUGCCGUGCUACGCGUGUAGGCAGUCUGUCUAUUCGCGCGGUGGGCUAGCCUAGGCUUUUGUGUACUAGCGCGCGCCCGUUCAUUGAGAAAGCAUGUGGCAAGAGGAUCGGCGUGCCUCCGUCCGCACCUAGUGCGUGGUAGCAUGCUGGCCGCCUCCCUCGUCUGCCGCGUGCUUUUGCUGCGUGGCAGCUGUGAGCCGCGUUUGCCGUCGAGUUGUGCCGCCUUGUCUACGGAUUGGUUUGUUCCUUUCCGCGGUGGGCGCGCCUGCGCGGGCAAGCGGCUUCGAAUCAAUGUUUGGCAUUAGUUAUCUGACCCGUCUUGAAACACGGACCAAGGAGUUCAAAUGGCACGCGAGUCAUUGGGUUUGAACACCCAAAGGCGAAGUGAAAUGCGAUUCAGUUGCAAACUGUGGGUUCGUCACACACAGUUCAGCGACGGGCUACCCAUGCUAUUUGGCAUUUGUAGACUGAAAGCGUGAUGUUUGAGACCCGAAAGAUGGUGACCUAUGCCUAGUCAAGAUGAAGCCAGAGGAAACUCUGGUGGAGGUCUGAAGUUGUUCUGACGUGCAAAUCGAUAAUCUGAUCUGGGUAUAGGGGCGAAAGACUAAUCGAACCAUCUAGUAGCUGGUUCCUUCCGAAGUUUCCCUCAGGAUAGCAAGCGUACGCUAUUUAGUUUCAUCCAGUAAAGCGAAUGAUUAGAGGCAUUGGGGCAUAUGUAGCCUCAACCUAUUCUCAAACUUUUAAUGGGUGUGAGCAUUCUUUCUUGACUGAAGAACGCUGCUAAAUAAGUAUGCUUAGUGGGCCAUUUUUGGUAAGCAGAACUGGCGCUGUGGGUUGAACCAAUUGUUGAGUUAAAGUGCCUAAAGCUUGAAUGCGCAUGAGAUCUGUAAAGGGUGUUAGUUGCUGAAGACAGCAGG
rnacentral:rRNA from 1 species